rnacentral:rRNA from 1 species
AGUGAACGCUGGCGGUAGGCCUAACACAUGCAAGUCGAACGGCAGCACAGUAAGAGCUUGCUCUUACGGGUGGCGAGUGGCGGACGGGUGAGGAAUACAUCGGAAUCUACUUUUUCGUGGGGGAUAACGUAGGGAAACUUACGCUAAUACCGCAUACGACCUACGGGUGAAAGCAGGGGAUCUUCGGACCUUGCGCGAUUGAAUGAGCCGAUGUCGGAUUAGCUAGUUGGCGGGGUAAAGGCCCACCAAGGCGACGAUCCGUAGCUGGUCUGAGAGGAUGAUCAGCCACACUGAACUGAGACACGGUCCAGACUCCUACGGGAGGCAGCAGUGGGGAAUAUUGGACAAUGGGCGCAAGCCUGAUCCAGCCAUACCGCGUGGGUGAAGAAGGCCUUCGGGUUGUAAAGCCCUUUUGUUGGGAAAGAAAAGUAGCAGGUUAAUACCCCGCUGUUCUGACGGUACCCAAAGAAUAAGCACCGGCUAACUUCGUG